AUUGAACGCUGGCGGCAGGCCUAACACAUGCAAGUCGAGCGAGCGGCGGACGGGUGAGUAAUGUCUGGGAAACUGCCUGAUGGAGGGGGAUAACUACUGGAAAAGGUAGCUAAUACCGCAUACCAUCAGAUGUGCCCAGAUGGGAUUAGCUAGUAGGUGGGGUAACGGCUCACCUAGGCGACGAUCCCUUGCUGGUCUGAGAGGAUGACCAGCCACACGGGAACGUAUACCCGGUCCAGACUCCGACGGGAUGCAGCGUUGGGGAAUAUUUCACAAUGGGCGCAAGCCUGAUGCCGCCAUGCCGCGUGUUUGAAGAAGGCCUUCUGGUUGUAAAGCACUUUCAGCGGGGAGGCGUUACCCGCAGAAGAAGCACCGGCUAACUCCGUGCCAGCAGCCGCGGUAAUUC
rnacentral:rRNA from 1 species